rfam:Gossypium raimondii Chr10_contig_97, whole genome shotgun sequence.
UGUUAAAAAUUUUAUGCAUUUGUAUUGUUAAAAACUGACUUGGUUGAUAGAAUAACCAGAUAGUGACACAUAACGUGCCAUAUGUACCUCAUGUGGAUGUCUAAGAAUUUAUUUUUAACUGUAGAAAUGCUCAUGAAAAUUUUAACA